rfam:Segniliparus rugosus ATCC BAA-974 genomic scaffold acqcO-supercont2.1, whole genome shotgun sequence.
GGCGCUCAGCCUGACCCCCCGGGGCUGAGCGCGACGGCCCUAGUAUCCCUCCCCCACGAACACGCUGGGGCCGUCCUAU